rnacentral:rRNA from 1 species
GACGAACCGAGCGAACGUUGUUCGGAAUCACUGGGCGUAAAGGGCGCGUAGGCGGCGCGGGAAGUCAUCGGUGAAAGUUCAGGGCUCAACUCUGAAUCGGCCGGUGAUACUCUCGUGCUCGAGCACUGUAGAGGCAGGUGGAAUUCCGGGUGUAGCGGUGGAAUGCGUAGAGAUCCGGAGGAACAUCAGUGGCCGAAGGCGGCCAUCUGGGACAACACUGACGCUGAGGCACGAAAGCGUGGGGAGCAAACAGG